rnacentral:rRNA from 1 species
UAGGGAAUCUUCGGCAAUGGACGAAAGUCUGACCGAGCAACGCCGCGUGAGUGAAGAAGGUUUUCGGAUCGUAAAACUCUGUUGUUAGAGAAGAACAAGGACGUUAGUAACUGAACGUCCCCUGACGGUAUCUAACCAGAAAGCCACGGCUAACUACGUGCCAGCAGCCGCGGUAAUACGUAGGUGGCAAGCGUUGUCCGGAUUUAUUGGGCGUAAAGCGAGCGCAGGCGGUUUCUUAAGUCUGAUGUGAAAGCCCCCGGCUCAACCGGGGAGGGUCAUUGGCAACUGGGAGACAUGAGUGCAGAAGAGGAGAGUGGAAUUCCAUGUGUAGCGGUGAAAUGCGUAGAUAUAUGGAGGAACACCAGUGGCGAAGGCGGCUCGAUGGUCUGUAACUGACGCUGAGGCUAGAAAGCGUGGGGAGCAAACAGG